rnacentral:rRNA from 1 species
CACGUAGGGUGCGAGCGUUGUCCGGAAUUAUUGGGCGUAAAGAGCUCGUAGGCGGUGUGUCGCGUCGGCCGUGAAAACCUGCAGCUUAACUGUGGGCGUGCGGUCGAUACGGGCAUCACUGGAGUUCGGCAGGGGAGACUGGAAUUCCUGGUGUAGCGGUGAAAUGCUUAGAUAUCGGGAGGAACACCAGUGGCGAAGGCGGUGUUCUGGGCCGUAACUGACGCUGAGGAGCGAAAGCAUGGGGAGCGAACAGG